rnacentral:rRNA from 1 species
ACUCAAAGGAAUAGACGGGACCCCGCACAAGCAGCGGAGCAUGUGGUUUAAUUCGACGCAACGCGAAGAACCUUACCAGGUCUUGACAUUGAUCCAACCCUUAGAGAUAAGGGGUGCCCGCAAGGGAGGGAGAAAACAGGUGGUGCAUGGUUGUCGUCAGCUCGUGUCGUGAGAUGUUGGGUUAAGUCCCGCAACGAGCGCAACCCUUGCCGUCAGUUACUAACGGGUAAAGCUGAGGACUCUGACGGGACUGCCGUGGACAACACGGAGGAAGGUGGGGAUGAGGUCAAAUCAUCAUGCCCUUUAUGACCUGGGCUACACACGUGCUACAAUGGCCGUAACAAAGAGAGACGAAGUCGCAAGGCGGAGUGGAUCUCAAAAAGCGGCCUCAGUUCAGAUUGUGGGCUGCAACCCGCCCGCAUGAAGUAGGAGUUGCUAGUAAUCGCGAAUCAGCAUGUCGCGGUGAAUACGUUCCCGGGGUUUGCACACACCGCCCGU